GACUGGUCCUGACCUCAACCCAGCUGAAAAUAUCUGGACUAUGUUUAAAGAGGCAGAUCUGUGCCAGAAAACCAAACAACAUUAAUUAACGCUAGUAAUUCAGUCUUUUUCUUUUCUUUACUGACCAUCAAAAACGAUGAAGUCGAGUUGCAACAUAUAAAGAAAACUUUUAGCAAAUAUUAGUGACACCAUGUGUAUAUAUGUCUGGUUGGACACGUUUCGCUCUGUGUGGAUUGGAGCAAAUCUAGAAUAAAUUCAAACUCAUGUCUUUAGAAAUCACUAAAGUUACUUGGUUUAUUAUUAGUCCAUCCUGAAAACAGAAAAUCUACAUUAACGUAACAUUCAUACUGACGAGUUUGAUUGGAAAUAUAUAUAUAUAGUAUAUUAAUCAACAGUCUGACCAGGCCUGUUUAAUAAUUUUAUCCUAAUAAAGAGACGACUCUAAUUUUAAAACUAGCUAGCGUGGCUAAGACUGAAGAAACCAAGAUGAGAGAAAUAUUAUGGUACGUUUAGGAUGAGUGGCCCUAUUUACACAUGUUUAGGUCCAUGAUUGCGACUGUGGGUAAACAUGGCGUACAGUAUGUUCAUAUUUUAUCUGGAAUAUAAAUCCACCCAGUGUGGAAAAGCAACAAUGUAACAUUUAUUGUUCUGAACGUGUUUUGUGUGUUUUGUGCUCUCGCUCGCUGUCUGCUGUUGAAACGAAGUCAUCAAAAUAUGCAAACCCAAUAUGGGCAAAUAGCAAAAAAAAUGUUUUUGUUUCUUUUCUUUUAAAUACAUAAACACACACAACACAAGUAAGAUCAGAGUCAUUAGAAAACAGCAACCAGCCGAUUUUUGUCUUUUUAAGUUUCUGGCGAAGCUGCCAGUCACCAGUUUGAAAUCUGAGGGAAAACUACAAGAAAAUGAACAAAAGAAAAAAAAGAGACUUCAGUGCAGGAAA